rnacentral:misc_RNA from 1 species
GCAAACUUGGUCAUUUAGAGGAAGUAAAAGUCGUAACAAGAUUUCCAAAGGUGAACCUACGGAAGGAUCAUUAAAGAGGAUCAAGGUGUCAAGUUAGAGUUUAGCUGGCAUCUCUCCCUACACGUGUUUACUUUACUUCUCUAUUAUCUCAGCGGGUCUACUACCAUCUUGUAUUAUAAAGAGGUGGCUGCUAGAGUGUCUGACGCUUUUUUACGUGUAUCUGCCAGAGGAUCUUCUGAACCCAUUGUGAGUUGUGUUCUGUCCGAGUAGCUUAAAAAUAUCCAUCAAAACUUUCAACAAAGGAUCUCUUGGUCUUUGCAUCGAUGAAGAACGCAGC